rnacentral:rRNA from 1 species
CCAACUACGUGCCAGCAGCCGCGGUAAGACGUAGGGGGCGAGCGUUGUCCGGAAUUAUUGGGCGUAAAGGGCUCCUAGGCGGUUCAGUAAGUCGACUGUGAAAAUCCAAGGCUCAACCUUGGGGCGCCAGUCGAUACUGCUGUGACUCGAGUUCGGUAGAGGAGUGUGGAAUUCCUGGUGUAGCGGUGAAAUGCGCAGAUAUCAGGAGGAACACCAACGGCGAAGGCAGCACUCUGGGCCGAUACUGACGCUGAAGAGCGAAAGCGUGGGGAGCAAACAGGAUUAGAUACCCUUGUAGUC